UACAGAGGCCCCAAGCGUUACUGAGAAUCACUGGGUUUAAAGGGUGCGUAGGUGGCGCGUUAAGUCCGUUGUGAAAGCCCUGGGCUCAACCCAGGAAGUGCAUUCGAAACUGCAGAGCUGGAGUCCUGGAGAGGAAGGCGGAAUUCUCGGUGUAGAGGUGAAAUUCGUAGAUAUCGAGAGGAACACCGGUGGCGAAGGCGGCCUUCUGGACAGUGACUGACGCUGAGACGCGAAAGCGUGGGGAGCAAACAGG
rnacentral:rRNA from 1 species